rnacentral:tRNA from 1 species
GGUCGGAAGUUCAAGUCUUCCCAGGCCCACCACACUCAUCGAGUGAGCAUUCGUCUUCUGGUUACGGGGCCAUAGCUCAGCUGGGAGAGCGCGUGCUUUGCAAGCAUGAGGUCGUCGGUUCGAUCCCGUCUGGCUCCACCAGAUGGUUUGAUCACCAACGACUAGACCGUCGUCCGCGAAACAUCACUUCGCACCCACCAGUCCGGAUGGACGGUGACGUGCGUGAUUUCUGACAUCGUAAAGAGGAGAUCGAUCCGAGUUGGAUCGUGCAGCAAGCAAUUGCUACGCGAUACUUCAUUAUCUCCGGAUCAUUUCGGCGCUUGCGCGCCUUUCAGUGUAGCUCACAAGGCUGCGUCUGAAAGACGGGCGAGUUGUAAAUGAUCCUUUUAGCGAAGCUUGACCGCCUCGCUAUCGGAACGAUCUUACGAAGCAAGCUGGUCUUUCUAAUCAUUGUCCGGCUGCAGAUAGCGUUCAUCGAGGGCGCGUGCCGCAAGGCAAUUCUGCAGACAACAUUCUGCCGAGUGUGUGGACAUUGAUAAUGAGAGC